rnacentral:rRNA from 1 species
AACAAAAACAUGUCCUUUUGUCUUAUUUAUUUAAGGUUUAACCUGCCCACUGAAUUUAUUUUAAAUGGCCGCAGUAAUUUGACUGUGCAAAGGUAGCAUAAUCAUUAGUUUUUUAAUUGAAAGCUUGUAUGAAAGGUUGGACGAAGUAUAAUCUGUCUUUAUUUAAUUUAUGAUAGAAUUUAAUUUUUAAGUUAAAAAGCUUAAAUAUAUAUAAAAGACGAGAAGACCCUAUAAAUUUUUAUAUUUUUAUAAAAUUAUUUUAAUUAGGAUUUUUUAAUUUAUAAUUUUAUAUAGUAUUUUAUUGGGGUAAUAGAAUAAUUAAUUUAAUUUAUUUUGAUUUUUUACAUUAAUUUAUGAUUUUGUGAUCCAAAAUUUUUUGAUUAUAAGAUUAAGUUACUUUAGGGAUAACAGCGUAAUUUUUUUAAAGAGUUCAUAUCGAUAAGAAAGUUUGCGACCUCGAUGUU